GAAGAUACGUUACAACAUGAGAUAAAUAUAUUCAGGCUCCAAUAAUAUAAUUUGAGAUCUUGUGUGAUAAUAAAACUAGAUAAUCUUAACUCAAUCAAAAUUUAGUGUAUAUUCAACAAGACAGAAAAUAAAUAGUAGUUUCAAGUUUAUUGAUUUGCAUUAGCCUUCAAAUGAUACCUGGAGGGGGUAUUUAUAGUGUUACAAAUGAUAUGGUGUUCGUUGGAUGAAAACCCAUACGGCCUCAUCUCCUUGGUCGAAACAUACCAUCCUAGGCAUCAAUUUGACUUUUCUAGCCUGUGGCGCAUUUAAUACUCUUAUAAAGCAGCGGCCACCCUGUUGCCUAAACUGACAAGAUAAGACAUUUUUCUCCCAUCAAUCAUUCUAAAAAGAUUUCCUACAUAAAUUCAGAAUCCUUUUGUGUAGAUAGUUGCUUGCUAUAGCUGGGCUUCGACUUUGAUUUAUGUCGAGCUUCAUCACCUCGACAAACAAAUGAGCGUAGCUUUGGGGCUUCAUCCUUGGCAUAGGAUUGCUUCGACAGAUGUGGUUUUCCUAUUGGAGUGGAUCAGUAAGUUUACCAAUCAAUAAAUAGGCCUUUGUGGAGUUGCCAAGUGGAGCCACAUGUUGUGAGGCAUAACAUAUAUAUCAACAUUCCUCUAUUAGGAUAGGUCGAUCUAUUUCAUAUAAUCCAUAAUAUAUACUCAAAUUUGCACGUUAUCAAAGUGUAAGUUACAAAAAAUUUUAAUUUGCUAAUGCUGUAUGGCUGGUAUUUAGUUGAAUUUAACAUUAUUUUGUUUCUUAUAUAAAACAGGCAACUAAAAGAAUCCCGUUACAUGAUCUCUACAUUUAGACGAGGAAUUAAAAAUAGAAGUAUCAUAUUAUUUUAAGAAAUAUC
rnacentral:lncRNA from 1 species